AUACUUACCUGGCAGGGGAGAUACCAUGAUCACAAAGGUGGUUUUCCCAGGGCGAGGCUUAUCUAUUGCACUCCGGAUGUGCUGACCCCUGCGAUUUCCCCUAAUGUGGAAACUCAACUGCAUAAUGUGUGGUCGUGGGGGACUGCGUUCGCCCUCUCCCCUG
rnacentral:snRNA from 1 species